rnacentral:rRNA from 1 species
CCUACGGGUGGCUGCAGUGGGGAAUCUUGCACAAUGGGGGAAACCCUGAUGCAGCAACGCCGCGUGAGUGAGGAAGUAUUUCGGUAUGUAAAGCUCUAUCAGCAGGGAAUAGCAAAGAAGGUACCUGCAAAAGAAGCCCCGGCUAACUACGUGCCAGCAGCCGCGGUAAUACGUAGGGGGCAAGCGUUAUCCGGAUUUAUUGGGUGUAAAGGGAGCGCAGACGGAUAGGCAAGUCUGAAGUGAAAGCCCAAGGCUCAACCAUGGGAGUGCUUUGGAAACUGUCAAACUAGAGUACAGGAGAGGGGAGAGGAAUUCCUUGUGUAGCGGUGAAAUGCGUAGAUAUAAGGAGGAACACCAGUGGCGAAGGCGUCUUACUGGUCCGAAACUGACGUUGAGGCUCGAAAGCGUGGGGAGCAAACAGGAUUAGAUACCCGAGUAGUC